UGGAACCAGUCCCGACAUCAGAAAAAGCGAAAAAAGAGAGAGGAAAGGAGGAGAUCUCGGUGACAAUAGACCGGUUGCAAGUUGUAAAUAUUGUUGGCUGGAAUAUCUACAGAAGAAUAAUAGAGAUUAAAAUCGAUAAGAGUGUUAUUCUGUAUCAUAAUCUUUGUUCAAGAUGCGACAUAUUGUUUUGGAAAAAGAGGCAAAGAGAUGUGGUGGAAACAUUUUAGAUUCUGUGGGUUCUACAGUUUGAGAUCCAGGUAACUCACUGGCAGAACUUCAAGGUAUGCUUUUUAUCUUUCAUAAUUUGAAAUCAUUCAUUAAUUUUUAUAUGAAUGUAAUUGUGAAUGAUAUGAAUACAAAUUUAAUUUAUUUCUUAUACUAUGAUAUGACAAAUUAUGGUUGAAACUAUAUGUAACGAAACUGUUGACAUUGUUUCAAAACUCACAAAAGUAUUAACAUUGUUUAUGAGCAUUUCUUUUUGUGGAAACAAAUAUUUAUCAGGGAAUUGCAACUUUAAUCAGUCUGUUGGAAGAAAAAACAACCAGGUUUAAAACAGAAUAGCAACUAAAGUGUCAAAGCUGCAGAGUUUCAAAUAAAAGGUUGUGAUUAAUUGUAGAGGAUGUUACGCAAGGAAUCUAAGCAUAUAGAGUGCAGAUUUUAUGCAAAAGAAUUUUGGUACCAUCUUUCUGCAAUGUUCCUUUGUCUAUUGCUCGGUUUCAUCUUGCUUGCUUAUUCUUAUUCAGAUUUUAGGAGCAGUUUGCAGGUAGAUUGUUCAACUGUCUUGAAUUCAGCUACUGAAGCACUCUCUCUCAAAUCUGAACUCUCAAUACUGCAGAAGAGUGAAGGGUAAGAGGAAAUGAGAGGAGACGGAGAUAUCGAGGAGGUUUUGAUCUGGGUUCUGCCGACAGGAGGAACGAAGAUGCAGAGGAGAGAAAGGAAAAGAAGAUGAAGAGGGAGAGCCUUCAGCAAUUAGAUACGCUCUGAUCGAAAUUCCAAGGGAUGAGAAGAGAUGAGUUUUGCAGCAGAAUCUCAGCCAAAACAGGGAAUGCCUUGAGAAAUGUAAGGAAGCUGUUGCAUUACUGAUGAUUGCUGCAGCUAGAUUUUCUGAUUUACCAGAGUACGUUGUCUGACGUUAGGCAACUAUUUCAAGAGAGAUAUGCGAACUCUCUGGCUUAUUGGGUGGAUCAAAAGUUUUUCAUGUGCUCUACUGCAUCACAACCUCAACUUUGGGAAGGCACAGGGGGCUUAUGACGAAGAAGAAUCCACAGCAAAAGCAUAUGAGUUGGCAGCACUCAAGUAGCGGGGAACAUCGACUUUUACAAAUUUUCCGGUGUAGGAUUAUGAGAAUGAAAUUGAUUUGUUGAACACUAACAAAAAGAAGAGUACUUGGCCUCUCUAAGAAGCUAUUAUUCAUCUUCAAAUUAAUAAGCAGUUGACCAGCCUCCCGUAACUGUUGUAAAAAUUUCAAGAGAUGAUUUUGAUCUAUCUAUUUACUAAUUAUUUGAUAGCUUUUUGUUUAAACCUGUUAAAUAUCAAAUUCAUACUAAAUUGCUCUCUAUAAAUGAGUGGAUGCAAAAUGACACAUCUUCAAUUUUUCAUUUGUGUUUGAUUAAUUAUUUACUAGCAAUAUAUAGCUCUCCGUAUUCCCUUUCAAAUUCUAAGGCAGUUGCAAUUUCACAGGAAUUGGAAACGAAAACCCAUUUUAAUGUUUGAAAAAAGAAAAGGUCAUCUCAAGGACCCAGUAGUGGAACAAGAAGAGGAAGAAGAAGCUGCAUAUAUACAAAGGGAAAAUGGUAGCGAAAUGGGCCUUCACUCACCCGCAGCGGAGCGGGGGCUGCAUUCUAGUGUAUAUAGGAAGCUGGAGAAACAGGAUGUCUGAACCUUGGUGAUGGCCGACAACCUUGCUCAGAUUGUUCUUCUAUAGCGGUCACGAAUUUAGAGGAAUGCAAUUUCAUAAUCCAAAAUGUGUUUGAAUUCUACAGAAUAUUAAAUCUCAAAGUGGAUGAAAAAAUUCCCAUCUUCUUCGUCGACAAGAUUCAAAUGAGCAGAAUAUCUCAAGAUGGUGCGGCUGGUAUGUUCAUUCCAAGUAUAUCGGCUCUCUUUACAAUGUCAUCGCAGUUAAAAUAAUGGUUAUUUUAACUAGAUUUAUUAUAUGCAGAAUUCAAACGAUUGAAAAAUAUUCC